AAGUCGUAACAAGGUUUCCGUAGGUGAACCUGCGGAAGGAUCAUUACAGAGUUCAUGCCCUCACGGGUAGACCUCCCACCCUUGAAUAUACUACCUUCGUUGCUUUGGCGAGCCGCUUCGGCUACCGACCUUGGUUGGUACGCGCUCGCCGGAGAACACCAAACUCUGAAUUAAUUUGUCGUCUGAGUACUAUAUAAUAGUUAAAACUUUCAACAACGGAUCUCUUGGUUCUG
rnacentral:misc_RNA from 1 species